GACGAACGCUGGCGGCGUGCUUAACACAUGCAAGUCGAACGGAAAGGCCCUGCUUUUGUGGGGUACUCGCGUGGCGAACGGGUGAGUAACAAGGGAGUAACCUGCCCUUUACUUUGGGAUAACUUCAGGAAACUGGGGCUAAUACCGGAUAAGAGCUCCUGCUGCCUGGUGGGGGUUGGAAAGUUUCGGCGGUUGGGGAUGGACUCGCGGCUUAUCAGCUUGUUGGUGGGGUAGUGGCUUACCAAGGCUUUGACGGGUAGCCGGCCUGAGCGGGUGACCGGCCACAUUGGGACUGAGAUACGGCCCAGACUCCUACGGGAGGCAGCAGUGGGGAAUAUUGCACAAUGGGCGGAAGCCUGAUGCAGCAACGCCGCGUGCGGGAUGACGGCCUUCGGGCUGUAAACCGCUUUCGCCUGUGACGAAGCGUGAGUGACGGUAAUGGGUAAAGAAGCACCGGCUAACUACGUG
rnacentral:rRNA from 1 species